rnacentral:rRNA from 1 species
CGAGUUCGAUGCACUAGCGAUCCGCCGGCGGAUUCAUUCGCCCUGGUGGGGAGCUUCCCGGAAACGAAAGUCUUCCGGUUCCGGGGGAAGUAUGGUUGCAAAGCUGAAACUUAAAGGAAUUGACGGAAGGGCACCACCAGGAGUGGAGCCUGCGGCUUAAUUUGACUCAACACGGGGAAACUCACCCGGCCCGGACACCGUAAGGAUUGACAGAUUGAUAGCUUUUUCAUGAUUCGGUGGAUGGUGGUGCAUGGCCGUUCUUAGUUCGUGGAGCGAUUUGUCUGGUUUAUUCCGAUAACGAGCGAGACUCUGGCCUACUAAAUAGUCGGCGCAUUGCUACUGUGCGCACAGUACUUCUUAGAGGGAUUUUCGGUGUUCAGCCGCACGAAAUUGAGCAAUAACAGGUCUGUGAUGCCCUUAGAUGUCCGGGGCUGCACGCGCGCUACACUGGCAAAAUCAGCGUGCUUGUCCUUCCCCGAAAGGGGUUGGUAAACCCGUGAAAAUUUGCCGUGAUUGGGAUCGGACAUUGCAAUUAUUGUCCGUGAACGAGGAAUUCCUUGUAGGGGCGAGUCAUCAACUCGCUCUGAUUACGUCCGGGCCCCUUUGGAAAA